GCAUCUCCCCAGCGGGUCCUGGGACUGCUCCUCCAACGGUAUGGCUGGUGGCUGCGUUGUACUUCAUUAGACGUUGUAAGCAACUGGUUCUUGCAUCAUUCUUCCAGGGUAUUCCUGUAUUUCGUCCUUGAAAAUACAAUCUGCACUUACUUCUCUCUAGGAUCUUCCUUCUGUAUAAAUGUAACUGCCUAAGUGAAGUAACUGAAGUAUAUUACAAGUCUUGCAGUGGAUGGAAAGGAAGGCUGGUUUUUGCCAGCUCUCCUGUUCUGACUAUGCCACAUGGAAGAUGCUGUGAGCAUUUUGGAGUGAAUGGUGGUAAAUGAGUGCUUCAAAUGGAGAAGGUUCUUAUGUGUUUAAUUUUCAUCAGAGGCUGGAUCAGUGGAGUGAAGAAAGGUUUCUCCAAGGAUUAAUCUAGGAAAAGGUAGACAGCAAUAAAGAAAAGCUUCAAAGGAAGAAUGUGAAAGCAUUGCUUGGAUACGUAGGGACAAAAUUACAAAUGACAAAGUCCAGCUGCAACUAGAACUAGCAGAGAACACGAAAGAUGGCAAGCUUGCUCCCAGGAUUCUGCAUGUGCUGCUGCAGCUUGGGAAGGAGAUGGCAACCAACAGCAACAGGUUAGUGACUACUCAGGAAGGCUGGUUUUCUUAAAAUCUGUGGAAGUGGUUGGGAUUCACCUGGGGGUGCUGGUGCAGUGAC